rnacentral:rRNA from 1 species
CCAACAGGAUCCCCUAGUAACGGCGAGUGAAGCGGGAAGAGCUCAAGCUUAAAAUCUCCGUGCAAGUUUUGCGCGGCGAAUUGUAGUCUAUAGAGGCGUGGUCAGCGUGGGCGCUUGGGGCAAGUUCCUUGGAAGAGGACAGCAUGGAGGGUGAUACUCCCGUUCAUCCCUGAGUGGCUCGUGCGUACGACCCGUGUUCUUUGAGUCGCGUUGUUUGGGAAUGCAGCGCAAAGUAGGUGGUAAAUUCCAUCUAAAGCUAAAUAUUGGUGCGAGACCGAUAGCGAACAAGUACCGUGAGGGAAAGAUGAAAAGAACUUUGAAAAGAGAGUUAAAGAGUACCUGAAACUGCUGAAAGGGAACCGAAUCGUUUCCAGUGUCUAUAAUCCGUGGCAUAUUUCAUUGGCGAGUGUGCGCGUGCGUGUGCUGUGGCAGUGGCUUUUUUGGCUGCGCUCGGUGUGUGUGCUGUGUGUGCUUGCUGGUGCCCUGUGCUGCGGUGGGACGUCAAGGUCAGUUCGUAUGCUGCGGGAAAUGGCUGCCGAGGAGGUAGGGCUUACGCUCCGCGUUUGUCUGUUAUAUCUUGGUGGACGAGUCGUCGCGGUUGGGACUGAGGUGCCUACAACGUGCUUUUGAGUGGGUUUGUGUCUCCGUGUGCGCCGUGUGCGGAUAGCUUGCUAUGCGUGUGUGGUUGUGUGUGGAUUGAUGCGGGCUUUAACUUGUCGCCGUUCGGGACGUUGACGAAAUGGAGCGAUCCGACCCUC